rnacentral:rRNA from 1 species
CCUACGGGAGGCAGCAGUGGGGGAUAUUGCACAAUGGGGGGAACCCUGAUGCAGCGACGCCGCGUGGGUGAAGGAGCGUUUCGGCGCGUAAAGCCCUAUCGGCAGGGAAGAAGGAGGACGGUACCUGACUAAGAAGCCCCGGCUAACUACGUGCCAGCAGCCGAGGUAAUACGUAGGGGGCAAGCGUGAUCCGGAUUUACUGGGUGUAAAGGGGGCGCAGACGGCAGCGCAAGCCAGGGGUGAAAGCCCGGGGCCCAACCCCGGGACUGCUCUUGGAACUGCGCGGCUGGAGUGCAGGAGGGGCAGGCGGAAUUCCUAGUGUAGCGGUGAAAUGCGUAGAUAUUAGGAGGAACACCAGUGGCGAAGGCGGCCUGCUGGGCUUUUACUGACGCUGAGGCUCGAAAGUGUGGGGAGCAAACAGGAUUAGAUACCCCAGUAGUC